UACGGAAGGCAGCAGGGGGGAAUAUUGCACAAUGGGCGCAAGCCUGAUGCAGCCAUGCCGCGUGUAUGAAGAAGGCCUUCGGGUUGUAAAGUACUUUCAGUCGUGAGGAAGGUGUUAAGGUUAAUAACCUUAGCAAUUGACGUUAGCGACAGAAGAAGCACCGGCUAACUCCGUGCCAGCAGCCGCGGUAAUACGGAGGGUGCGAGCGUUAAUCGGAAUUACUGGGCGUAAAGGGCACGCAGGCGGUUAAUUAAGUUGGAUGUGAAAUCCCCGGGCUUAACCUGGGAAUGGCAUUCAAGCUGGUUAGCUAGAGUCUUGUAGAGGGGGUAGAAUUCCAUGUGUAGCGGUGAAAUGCGUAGAGAUGUGGAGGAAUCCGGUGGCGAAGGCGGCCCCUGGACAAAGACUGACGCUCAUGUGCGAAAGCGUGGGGAGCAAACAGGGAUUAGAUACC
rnacentral:rRNA from 1 species